CAUUCAUAUAGUUUUAAUUGUUCUGAAUUUUGUAAAUUUUUAUUAGCUAUGCUGUAUUUAUAUUCUAUUACGAUCAAUUUACUGACUGCCUUUUAUCCUUCUUUAGUAAUCAAGUAAUGCAUUUUUUGGAUGCGAGGAACUUUUUAUCAAGUCAAGACCCUCAGGGGAAGAAAAUUAGUAUUCAGCACUGUGUCUGUGGCCUGCGUCCAUUGUUCCUCUGCUAAAACAUUUCUUAUGACUAAAAGAAUAAUAACAAGCCUCUUACAAUGCCACAUAGUUAAUUGUCAUUUACUGUGACUUACUCAUUCUAGUUCCUUGAAAUCUUCAGUAGCUCCCUGCUUCUCUGUAUCAUCACCUCCAGCUAACCUUAUGCGCCUGCUCUUCUCUUUAGAAAGUUAAUUCUAUGGCACUCCCCAAUGUGGAAGAAAUUGAGUUUAUCAAAAUUAAGUGGAACAGCUGUUACAGAUUCGUAUAUUUUGUGGAUGCCUUUGAAGUUUCUUCUGUGUCUGCAGACGAGUCCUUACUCCGGUGCAUAUAUACUCAUGACAUUGAACAUAACAGCUCUUCGCACGUCAAACUUCGCAUUAUUUGUUGAUCAGCACCAAAAGAAAAAACUCCAAUUAGAUUCAAUGAUGAGCGGACUUCAGUGUGGACCUAGUUGUACUCCCAAACUAUUCAUUAAAAAAAAUAAAUAAAACUUUUAAAAGAUUGAAAACUUUAAAAAAUUGAUAAAAAACUGAAAUAAAUAUCGCUGGCGGUCUAAUUAAACAGAUUGAAUGGGGGAAUGACCGUCCAUGACGAUUGGACUUGUUUUAUUACAAUUUUGCUGCUCGAGUGAACUCUUCUUUCUGACCAAUCUGACUGGAAUUUGAAAUGCCUCUCUUCCAUUGACCAUAACAGUGGAAUUUCAGACGUUGUUUUAGUGUCUUGCCUCGCAAUAGGUUAAUCCAUCUUUAUUCUGAGAAUAAAUCUUUCACUUGUCCCCCUUUCAAAUGAAUUUGCCUCAAAAGAAUGAUUCCACUGGGGAAAAUAAUGUGAUUAAUAAAAAGUGCAAUCAUGGAUCAUUUUUCAAAUAGCAAGAGGGCAUGGCAAAAGCACCGUCUAGGCAAGUGCCUGUUAUCAUUUUUGUUAAGUGAACUUCCUAGUGACUAUGUAAUAAAAUUUAUAAAUUACUACAAAAUAGAACAAUCUUAGCAUAUUGAAAAUAUAGUAAUUUAAAUUUUUUUGGCUUAUAUAAAAUUUUUAUUUGAGAAUGCGUUUUUAUCCAAAAAUGUGCUGAAUAUGUUGUUUUUGUAGGUCUUGCAAGUAUUUUUGUCCAAAUUAAAUAUUUCAGAAUUUAUCUGCUGGCAAUAGAUCUUUUGCUUUAAUAUAUAUAUAUAUGUAUUCUAUGUAUAUCAUGUGUAUAACAAAAGAGUUCAUAAAUUGUAUGUAUAGUUACUUGAAAAAAAAAAGUAAUGCAUUCUAAGAAAAUAUUAAUGUUAUGAAUUGUUUUCCCAAUGUGUGAUAACUGAAUUUUUCUGAUCAUUGUCCAGUUGAAAUUUCAAAUUUUCUUUCCGAGUUCCUCACAUUCAUUAAUAGUAGUAUAAUAAGAAUGUCUAAUUCUGAUAUGUUAUAAUAUGUAGUAUGUAAAAUAUUGCUGUAACAUUUUCUUAUGCGUAAGAGAUAUUUGAUUUUUGGCCAUAGAACUUGAUAUAUUUUUUGAUUGAAAUACUAGUGUCUUUCAGAAGGGUAUCUAAUUAAUAAAUAUGGAAAUAAAGGAAAUAUAUGAGGAUAAAUUAAGUCUUACAGAUUGAUGUUACUUUUAAGUUUAAAAGGUAUAUAAAACUAAUUCAAACAUUCAUGUGUUCAAGUUAUUUUAACAAUUCAGUACUCUUUGAGGAGAGUACAAUACAUGACGCAGUGUCAAAUCUCCCAUUUAUGCAUAAUUCUUAAUCCAUGUAUAUUUUUGAUUUUAUUUGGUGCCUUGAAUUUUAGAUAUUUAAAAUUGCAACUUUGAUUGUUAGACAUUUGAAAUUAAUUAUCACAAGUAGGAAACUGAUUGGAAAAAUGUAGUUUUGCUGUGUUAUGCAUUUUACUAAUAUUUAUAUUGAUAAUAUCCAUAUAAUUGUCAUGUUGUGCAUAUAUAAAUACUGGUUUUGCUUAUUUAUCUUUUGCAAUGUAUUCUGGGUCUAUUUAAAUUAGUGCUAAUUUGUUAAAGUAAAGAAUAAUGAAAAAGUAAGAUAGGCUUGUCUCUAAACUUUAGUUUUUAAUUCUUAAUCUUGGUGUUAUUUGCAUAAUUUGAAUGUUUAAUUUUAUAUUUAACUAAAUAUUUUACAAUAAAGUUAUCAAAAUUGAUUUUAUUGUAUGUAAUUUUUGUUUUAUGUGCCUAUGCCAUGCCAGUAUGUUAACUUCAUCAGAAAGAUUCCUUCCCUUUUUCCUUUCAUCCAUUUGACUUCUGCCAAGUUAAUAAAUGGCACUUAGCAUACAUAAUAUUUGGGUAAAAGAAAUGAUGGUAUGGAAAUAAAAUUUGAUUAGCAGUGUUUGAA